UUCAAAUCCUGGAGUUACUCCU
rnacentral:miRNA from 1 species